CGUGCACCGGUGGGGUCCCUCAGCCUGGCCUGUGCCCUCUCGCAAUCCGGGACCCCUCAGGGAAUGUUGGAGAGCCAGUUUCGGCCCGAUCCCCACAGGCCAGGCUGAGGGACCCCACUGGUGCACA
rnacentral:pre_miRNA from 1 species